AGAUACCGUGUGAGAUCGAUGCGUUACUGGCGAUCAUAAAGUAUCGUCUUGGGUCGUCCUAUUCGUUUUUCGUCAAGUUCUUAAAUUAGUCCUAUUCUGCUUUCGUCACUCAUUCUACAUUGAAAGCCACCGACGAUUGUGACGAAUGUAGAACGAAAAACGAAUGGGACGACCCAAGACGAUACCGACCAUAAUUAUAAUUAUAUAGGCACAAAAUAAAAUAUAUGAAUGAUUUAAUGAAUAUCUGUAACUGUUUUGUAAACCCUGUAUUUUAUGUACCUAGACGUUACUCUCGUAUUGCAAGUGUUAAUAUAACUACAGAUAAGUUACGAAGUUUCCAAAAAUAUGAAAAUGAUCUCGGAAAUUUCACUGGAGACGAAGGAAACAUUUAUUUUGGAAAUGGAGUUUCGAUUCCCACACAAAAAUAUGAGAAGUUCCGAAUUUUUUCCAUGUGGAAAUUUCGCAAUUUUAGAAAUUUUCUGACGGCACAUAUAUAGGUAUAGGUAAGUAUUAAUAACUGUAUGUCUGUCCCUAAUAUUACUGAGUCACGUAGAAAAACUAGGUAAAGUAAUUAUUGAUAAAAUGACUGUCGUUUUUAACCCCCGACGAAAAAAAGGGGUAACUGCGUCCAAAUGUUUCUGGAGUGAGAUAAAGUGUAUAAAAGCACUAUUAGGGGGCUAACCUGGACAAAAGCUUCACUUGCCCCGUGUAUAAUAAAUAUAUAUGUAAAUAAUAAAAUCAUAUAGAUAGGUACCAUCACGCCCCGCGAUUGUUACGCCAUUUAUGGUCCUAACUAAAUUGGUCAUUCCAUACUUACGCAAUGGAUGUCCAUUUUAGCUAGAACCCUAAAUGGAGCAACAAUCACGGAGCGUGACUGUAUCGAACUUAGUGGCAUUUUCGCCUCAUUAAUGCACAAUUACAUAAAAAAAUAACUUUAGUAACUACAAAAUCUUUACAAAUCUAGUAUCAACGAAAUUACUUAUUACUUGCCAUGCUUGAUUUGAUUACACAAAUGAGAAAAUUAUGUUGUAAACCUUAUUACUAUUCGUACAUAAAUACAUGCCUAAUUUUUUAUUGAUAUCACAUGGGAGAUGUACCUAUCUAAUCUGCUUUGCGGUGUUUUGUCGAAGUAGCCCCGCGAAGGGGCAAAAUCGUGAGCUUAUAUAAGUUUAAGAAUGCUUUAGUUGUGUAAUUAAUUUAAGUUUUCUGUUGUAAAUGUUGUUCAAAUUAGUUUAUUAUUAAUUGUUAGUCCCACGCCAAAGGUGCUUAGCAUAAGAUUAUAAAUGUUGUAUGUACAUUGUACUUCUGCAGAUUUUAUUAAUAUUAAAUGCAAAAUGCAUCACGAUAAUCUCCUUGACCUUACCGAUAUUUUGCUCCGAGUUCUGACAUGUCCUAAAUAAAUAACUAUUUAUGUAAGAAGAAAUUUAGUGAAAUAAUUUGAGACCUAAAAAAAUUGUAUAUAUUUAUUCUGAAAUUAAAUUGUUAUCAAUGUUCGAAACAUAAAUAAAGAGUUACCAAAUUUCAA